CUCCUCUCAGGAUCCUGGAGAGUUUCCAGUAUUCUACCAGUCUUAGAUAUGGGAGGGAGAGUCAGGCAGAGGCAUAUCCACUCCAUUCCUAGCUUGGGCAGUGGCUAGCGAGUGGAAGGCAAUCUGCUGCAAGU
rfam:Ornithorhynchus anatinus chromosome 4, whole genome shotgun sequence.